rnacentral:rRNA from 1 species
UACGGGGGGGGCAAGCGUUGUUCGGAAUUACUGGGCGUAAAGGGCUCGUAGGCGGCCAACUAAGUCGAACGUGAAAUCCCCGAGCUCAACUCGGGAACUGCGUCUGAUACUGGCGGGCUUGAAUUCGGGAGAGGGAUGUGGAAUUCCAGGUGUAGCGGUGAAAUGCGUAGAUAUCUGGAGGAACACCGGUGGCGAAGGCGGCAUCCUGGACCGGCAUUGACGCUGAGGCGCGAAAGCCAGGGGAGCAAAGCGGG